UGAUAUUCAGUCGUGUUUUUUGAUAUUUUUGUUAUUUUGUAAUCGUGUAUCUUUUUAAAGGUCUAAUGGCUCCGUUCAGCUGUUGUGUGCAGACGGUGGAAAAGUUCAACAAGUAAACAUUUAUUUAAUCCAAAUUAAAUACUCAUAUUUCUAUGUAAAAUGUCACAUUAUUUUAUAAAUAAAUAAGUAAGAAACAAAA